GCAGCUGCAGGAGCUGUUGUUGCUCUUCUAGUUAUAACACCUCUUUUUGUCUCCUUGUGGAUUAGGGGAAAAAGAAGGACUUCAGGUACCGAAGCAACAGUCAACAUGGAGCAGUUAAACCCUGGUCCUGUGAAUGAAAACAUCUCAGCCCAACCAACACAGCAGGAUGAUCUUCACUAUAGCAGAGUCCACUUCUCUAAGACCCAGACACAUCCUCUCUACUCCAACGUCCAGCCACACCAGUCUAAAGAACAGGACGACGUCGCUUAUGCUGUUGUCAACUUUAUACCCAACAGGACCCCAAAGUGAUCAACCAUUGAACUUUCUGCCUGCUAUAUGCCAGACUUCAAUGUCACAUUUCAAAGUUUCUAAUCUCUGGCACAAUUACACUCCACUCCAUGUUUACCAGCAGUUACCCAAAAGUACCGAACGCUUUGAAACAGCAGAUCAAGUGUAUCUGAAGACUUUUUCACAUUUGCUAGAAAAAAGAAAACACUUGUAGUAUAGAGAACAAUUAUUGUGAUACAUAUGUGUUUUGGCUUGUGUCCCUCAUCAGUGGAACACAAAGAACAUUUAAAUGAGAUGAGGUAUGAUAAGUACACAAAAAGCCAGUGGGUUACUCACACAUAGAUGGGACUGGUAUGGUCAUUUGGUUUCAGAUUAGUCAUAUUUCUAAACUAGCAGAUAGGUAAGGGGUGUGCUUAAUGAUGGAUAUGGGUGAAACCAGCCAAAACACAUUGGUCUCGCAAUAAAGUUGUUCUUUAAACUAAAAGUGCUGCCUGAGCUUCAACCUCUUCAGACUUUUUCCUCUUCUCCAUGCACCUUUGAAGUAGGUGAAGUUCCUGUCUCCUGACUUCCAGACUUUUGGACUUUUCACUGCAUCAUCUACCGAUUUUUUUUAUAUUUGGACCACAUUUUCACAUGCUUUCUCGCUUUGUGUAGAUUUUUAGAUUUGUAGUGGAUUGUUGACGGACAUGUUGCAUCAUUGAGACAGACUUAACUUGGAUCAACAGAGGAAGCUGAAAAUUUUGGUGGACCUUUAUAUUUGUCAACAAAGUCAAGCUCUUUAGGAGACAUCUUCAAGAAGGAGAUAUCACACAUUUCCAUGUGUUAGAUUCAAGAACACAAUUACCUAAAAGCGAGUGCAGCUCAGUAUGCAACACUGCUUGAAAAUCCCUGAGAAAAUUUGGAGAAAAAAAUCUAUGAUUUAGAGGUUAUAAGGCCACAGAUUUAUCUUCCUCAUUUACCAUUUCACUGUCGAAUCAGACUAUUUAAAAGCUCAAGUAAAGGCAGAUGAAGCCGCAUCGCAAGGGAUGAUUGAACAGACUGAUCACUCCUCAUCUAACUGCACAGAAUACUUAUAGUAAAUUAACUAAUGGCAUUGCCAGACCACAAUGCAAUGCCAGGUAAGCUUAUUGAAACAUUUUGUGUUUUUUUCUGGUGUGCUUCAUGUUGUAUUACUGUGCUUUCUGUUUGA